rnacentral:rRNA from 1 species
GACGAACGCUGGCGGCGUGCCUAAUACAUGCAAGUAGAACGCACAGUUUAUACCGUAGCUUGCUACACCAUAGACUGUGAGUUGCGAACGGGUGAGUAACGCGUAGGUAACCUGCCUGGUAGCGGGGGAUAACUAUUGGAAACGAUAGCUAAUACCGCAUAAUAUUAAUUAUUGCAUGAUAAUUAAUUGAAAGGUGCAAUUGCACCACUACCAGAUGGACCUGCGUUGUAUUAGCUAGUAGGUGAGGUAACGGCUCACCUGGGCGACGAUACAUAGCCGACCUGAGAGGGUGAUCGGCCACACUGGGACUGAGACACGGCCCAGACUCCUACGGGAGGCAGCAGUAGGGAAUCUUCGGCAAUGGACGAAAGUCUGACCGAGCAACGCCGCGUGAGUGAAGAAGGGUUUCGGAUCGUAAAGCUCUGUUGUAAGAGAAGAACGGGUGUGAGAGUGGAAAGUUCACACUGUGACGGUAGCUUACCAGAAAGAGACGGCUAACUACGUG